rnacentral:lncRNA from 1 species
AUGAUCAGAGUGUCUGUGUUGCUGGGAAACGGGGAGCUGUCCUGGGCUGCUCCUCAGUAUUUGUCUUUCAUUACAGAUCUUUCCUCCCUACUUGUGGAAAAGGAGUUUUACAGGAGAGAAAUGAAGAUGACUACAAAGAAAAGUCUUCCUCUGAGCUUUGGGAUUUUUUGCAGUUGGGUCUCAGGUCUGGCAGAUGGCCCAAGUGGGAGUGAUGAGGAAGGUGAAGUGAUGCAGCCUCAGACUCUGGUCCCCACCAAAAGAUGCAGCUCCCAAGGCUCCAGUUUGACCAGGGAACACACAGAUCUGCAGGAGCACUGUCUGCUGAGAAACACGGCCCCAAAGGAGCCCUGUGGCUGUCCUGGCCUCUUGGCAGCACAGAUGGGCAUCUCCAGCAGCCUGAAUUCCAGCUCCUGGCUCUGCUAUCCCAGUGACAGCAGCACAUUUGCAUAAGGAGCCACUGGGUUUGUGGAAAUAAGCACUGGUGAAUGAAGAUGAAAGAGAAAACCUUGCUGGUUUCUUCCCUGGAGAUCAUAUUUCUUACUUGUUGCAUAACUGCUUAUUUUAGCAUCAAUCAGCCAGGCCUUUGUUGUGCAGACAAUUCUGUCCUUUUAAAGGAUUUGUGCAGUAUUGUUUCUUCCAAAAUGCUUUUUUUUUGUUUUUAUUAUUAGAUUUAUUUCCUCUCUUAGCAAAUGCCAACUGACAACACCCUACAACACCCUGUCAGAGCUCUUCAUGAGUGUUACAUAAAUGUCAUACUAUGUAAACUGAGUGUUGUAUAUAACAUAUACAUGACCUUUCUGGAGAACCAUCCAUCAGGUGCUGUCUCUGUGUGUGUCAUGUUUAUGCAUUUGUACACAAGCUGUGUUUAAGCGUGCAUAUAUGGUAGCCAAAAAUCUAUUAAAGGGAGCAUUCAAAACACAGAAAUGUCCGAACUCUUGUCAGUGUAACUCAUCUAUUCACUUUUUUUGCAGCAGAACAAGACUUCAAUUGCAUGUUCAGACACUCUUUUCCUUCUCCAUCACUGUGUGUGCAGUGGGAUGGUCAGUGAGGGGCUCAGCAAUGCCUAUUGUUCAGCACAUGAGCCUGGGCAGAGCACAUUAUUCAGUGCAUUAUCCACAUGUCUGACCACUUUUGGAUUUCACAGCAAUAGGAAAUACAGCUCCAAUAUUUCUCUGUGCAGUUUUCAAAGCAGAGCAAGGUGCCCACGUUCUGGAUGGUAAAAAUGUAUUGAGGUUGCAACUAGGCAUGCUGUGGACCUGCCAUGCCGUGCUGUGACCUUCUUUAGAGGAGUACUCCAGAAAUCCUGGAGACAUGGCCCACAGGGUGGUAAGGCUGUAGCAUGCUGUACAGGACCAGAGCAGGGACCUGCAGGUUCCUCAAAUGACAGAAUUAUUAAUUUCCUCAUGGCUUUUUCUAUAGCACUUUCCACUACACUGCCUCAGUGCUUCAGCACCUUCAUUA